rnacentral:lncRNA from 1 species
AGGAUCUGUAUCAGAAGUUUUCAUGAACUUAGGGUCCUGCGUUUCAGAUAAAAGCUGGGGAAGGGCGGAGGGGAGAGCCGGUGGGACUUUGGGCGAGGCGGUGGGAGCCAUGGAGGGCUCCGUGGGCAGGGACACGGCGUGCAUCGACCUAUCUCCUGCACCUUCAGGCCCCUGCCCCCACAGGGCCCGCUGGGGCAUACUGGUAAGACAGGCAGCUGUCUGUCUGGGCUGAGGGGCGCCAACACCAGGCAGAGGGCACCGCGUUCUACCCGCAUAGACCUGUGCCGGCCAGGACACGGGAGCUGGCGUCUGCUUCGUCGAGGCGAGUGUCACAGGGAAGCCUGUUCUGGGUAAGCCCCCCACCUGGCUGGUCAAGUCCAAGUGAUUCCGUCUCGUUCCUCUCUGUGGUGCAAGGGACCGCUCGCCCGGGGUGGGAGGGGCUGGCAGAAGGCUCUCUCUGCUCAUGGUGCUUCCCCCGCGGGACCCUUCCGGACCCUGCGACACCCUCCUUCCCGAAUCUGCCCCCAGCCCGCCCCACUCCCUGCCCGUCCCUGGCGGGGUCCCCUUGCUCCCCGCAGGAGACCUUCCCGGGGCCCCUGUGAUCCCCCCGGCGGCCCGGCCCAUGCGCACCGCCCCACACUUCCUGAGCCUUGUUCUCUGGGACCACUCUGGGCGCCAGGAGCCAGGGCGGUUUUCUCUCGUGCGGCUCGAGACGGUUCACCGGCUCCUGCCCAGCCUGGGGGUCAGAUCCCACCUGGUUUCAUGUGUCUAAGUGAGAGCUUAGUCCCCAGGUACUUGUUAUCAGACUUGCCAAUUUUAGCCGUGUUUUCUGGGUCAGCCGGGUGAUGGACCUCGUGUACGGGUUGAUCAUUACCACUCUGUUUUGGAGGGGCUAUUAUUAGUGUCCCAGGGCUGUCAUAACAAAGCACCACAAAUCGGGUGGCUUACACAACAGAGACUUAUUCUCUCCGAGUUCUGGAGGCCCCAAGUGUGAAAUAAAGCUGUCCUCAUGGCCCUACCUGCUCCGAAGCCUCCAGGGGAGGGUUUUCCUUGCCUCUUCCAGCUUGUGUUGUUCCGUGGCUUGUGACUCUGUACCCCCCCCCCCCCCCACCAAGUCUCUGCCUGUCUUCAUAUGGCCAUCACCUUCCUGUGUGUCUGUGUCUUUGAAUCAGGUGCAUACGUGUGCACAUGGCGGGGGGGCACCUGUAUGCGGGUGCACGCGUGUGUGUUUGCGUGUACAUGUGUGUCUGUGCGAGCCUGUGCACGGGUGUGUGUGUGUGCGUGUGUGUCUAGUUAUAACUAAGUAACUAAGUCUGGGGGUGGGGCGAGGUGAGGACCAGGACUAGGCCACGCGAGCCACAGGCCAGUCCUGGGAUGGCUCCCCGUGAGGCUUGUCUCCACCUCGCUGGGCUGCUUAAAGCGAACCAGUGGGACCGGUCACUUUGGGGGGACUUGGAGGCCCCGAGUCCCCGUCUGGAAGGAGGAUUGCGAGACGCAGGGUUCACGUUCUGUGCCCGGGGGGCUAGAGGGAUUGAGGAACCCCCUGGGAGCGGCCCCGCCAGGAGACUUUGAGAACAGAGCCCCGGAGUCUCCGCCUUAAGUGCAGUUGGCUUAGCGGCAGGAUCGGCGGAGCAGUCAUGUCGCCGGCCUCUGGGCAGGGUCCCCUGACAAAGUGCAGGCUGCCGGCCUGCUAACAUUUACGUUUUAGGUCAAUGGUUAAUUUAUGGCUGUAAGUGUGUUCCAAACCCUACAUGAGACAUACCCGUACUGAGACGGUGCUCGAUGUCGCUGAAAUUCAUAUUUCACGAGGUGUCCUCCACUUUUAUUUGCUACACUGGCCACCGUACCGGAGAGGCCCCCCAGGGCCCGAGGAGGCUGCCAGGGAGGGGGGGCGGGUCCCAGCCUCCUCCCCCGCCCCCGCCUCCAUGGAGAUCGCCAGGAUGGGGUGGGAACCAAUCCCGCUGGCCCGUGGGGACAUCUGGAGCGCUAACGGGGCAAGGAGGGGAGUGGGGGGGACAGAGGCCCGCCCAGGCACCGCACGAAGGGAGGCGUGGGGCCCCUGUAAGCCCUGGAGCAGGGGCGUCCCGGGUGCAAGUGGGGGUAUCCGCGUCUCCUUGGCGGGGUGGAUUUAGGUACUUUGUGAGAGUCCGCAGCGUCGGGGAGUGAACGCUGGGUGGGUUCCCGGCCCCUGCCUGGCUCCUGCGCGUCAUUCAUUGCCUGACCAAUGUCACAGCCACAAGCAGCACGGAGCCUCCGCCUUUCUGGAGGAGUGCAGGCCAGGAGGGGGCGCUCGGGGGGAAACACGCAGAGAUCCUCGAUGGGUCAGCGAUGGCGGGCUGGGAGGGUGGGACGGAAGGGUUUCCUGAGGACCCCAUAUUUAAGCCGAGUGUCACGAGGGAAGAGGAGUUACUCAGGAGAAGGUCUGGGGGAGGAAGGGCUGGGGGAGGGAUCCCAGGUCUAAGGAGAAGAAGCAGGUGCCCAGGCUGGAGGUGGGGAGGCCAUGAGAAUUCCAAGGGGGAGAAGACCACCGUGGCCGAGAGGAGGGAAGGCAGGGUGUCGGCAUGAGCCUGAGCCACAGGGAAACCUGACACCAGGUUUUCCACGUGGAAUAUAUUCUGGAAGGCCUUCUGGUUGCCCCUCUGGAGCUGUGGGCCCCGGCUGGCCAGUGUCUUCCUCCGGGGCCAUCUAUCAGGGUCUCCUCGCGGUGACCUCUGUGGGGAGGGGCCCGAUGCCCCCAAGUGGCGUGGGGCUCCUGGUGGCAACUCUGGGCCGGCCUCGUGAAGGGACUCCCCCUCCCCACCCUUGUUUGACCCUGAGGGUCUGUCCCGCUCCAGCGAGCAGGCUUUCGUCCACACUGGCUCACUGCCUCCACGGGUCCCGUGCCCUCGCUGCUUCGAGACUCAUGCCUACGUGUGACUCCCCCUCCACCCCUGGAAGGCACAUCCUUGCCCCACAGAAAACCAGAUGAUUUUGUAUUUUUGAAGACAGAGGAGGGAAAGAUAGAGAGAACCCUCUGAUCUACUCCAUGCAUUUGCCACCAAAGCGGUCUUCCCAAAGUCUCCCACACAGAGGCUUUUGGAAAGAAAGAGCCAGGGUCACUUUGGCACCAGGAAGGGCUCAAAUCCCACUCACGGCUUGGGUGACGUCCCUCAGUUACUUGCCUUCUCGGUGGCUCAGUUUCCCCACCUGUGGAAUGAGGUCCACCGCAGCGCCCAGCACACAGGGCUAUUUGAGGACAAGGUGCGGUGACCCGGCUCAGGCUGGGGUCUGCACCCUCAGCCGAGGCACCGACACAGGGGGCUCGAUGGAACCCCCGAGCCGCGAGUGAGGGCAGGCGAGUUAGCCUUGGGGCCCAGACACUUCUAACCUGCUCUGCUCAUCACAGAGGGAUCUGCAUCAUCCACAGUUGUCUCCAGGAUGGGACAAGAUGGAUGGAGGUUGGGUCUUGUGCGGAGGGAGGGGGAAGAGAGCAGUCUUUGGAGUCCACGAAAGCAGGGCCGUUGGUAAAAAGAGACGUUGGAGGUGGACAAAUUAACCUUUUAAUCAGGAAACCACAAGAAUCACAAAAGCGUGAAGACACUUGGCAAAGAGGUUGGGUCCUGCUCAGAGUUACCUCGUGCACACGCUGGCCGGAGGAGGUGAGACCCCAGCUCCGGGCGCCUUCCCCAUGAACCACCACCUCCCGGGCGUGUGUGGCCCCAGACACUCAUGCUCCUACUCAAACACACUCAGACCCAAGGUGCCCUCGUGUGUCUGGCGCUCCCUCCAAAGUGGGCUUUCGUCCUUAGGGAGCACUGUGUAUCCAGCACCUUGGUGCGGAAGAAAAGAAGGAGACUGGAAUUACCACGGCUUCGUCCUCCAGCUGUGUUUUCCUGGAGGCGGACGUCCAGGCUGCACUGACGAUGCAAAUGUUGACGGAAUUGUGUUCUGGGCCAGCAUUUCCCUCUAAAGCACCUCGGGAUCAAAGCUACAGACCCAGGGCGCCUGGGUGGCUCAGUCGGUUGAGCGUCCGACUUCGGCUCAGGUCAGGAGCUCGCGCUUUGUGGGUUCCAGCCUCGUGUCGGGCUGUGUGCUGACAGCUCGGAGCCUGGAGCCUGCUUUGGAUUCUGUGUCUCCCCCCUCUCUCUGCCCCUCCUCCACUCACACUCUGUCCCUCUCUCUCUCUGUCAGAAAUAAAUAAACAUUAUUAUUUUUUUUAAUUUAAAAGGGAAAGGUAAGCUAUUCAGCUAGCAAAAUAUAGUUUAUUUGGAACAGCGGAAGUGUGGGAACUCCGGACAAGCGCGGGUGGACAAAACACGGACGAGACUGGAGAACAAAGGAGAGUCCUUUCAUAACGGAAGGGAGGAAGCUGGGAGGUGUCUUUCUGAACAAGUUUAUUAGAGGACAGUGCGCGUUUGAAGCGGUGGUCGUUCUUCCUUGGCUGCGGGCCACCGGGGUGAUGGCCGCCUCGCGCUGGCUACGGGCAAAGCAGCUUGCUGUUGUCGGCCAGGAGGAAAUCUUUCUCCUUCCUGCUGGGCUGGGCAGACUCUGGAGAGUAGUGUGUGUACGACAGCCCAGCCUUGAGUUAGGCUCCUUUAACACAUUUUCAUCCCCCGCGAUACCACUGAAGCCGGGGCGGUAGACGCAGUGUAGACAGCAAUGCGCGCUUCUCCCUUCGGUUUGCAGCACACUGUGCGGAGCAAGAUCUGGCUGUGAGGACGAGGAAAGGGUCAGAGGGCCGGCAGGUGGGCCCUGAAAGGGGAGCCGGGGAAAGAUGUCAAAGGUCACAGUAGCAUUUUUAGAGAGAUCCUGUCCGUGGUAUUCAUGAUGCGUGAAUCUUUACACAACAGACAAACAAACACAAACACGUGAUAGAAGACAGUUCUCAUCAGGCAAACAUCCAGACUGGGGCAGGGUGAAGAGGCCAGGUGCCUUCAAGAAGGAGCUACGAGAUGGUGGGAAAGCCAUGCAGAAGGCCACGUAAGCAAGAUGGCGGCACACGAUGUGGGCCAUGGCCUCAGUUGGGCUCACUCUCUCUUAUGGGAUAGAUGUGUUUCCCCGAAACUCAUGUGUUGAAGUUCUAAGCCCAGUGCCUCAGAAUGUGACUGUACUGGGAGUGAGCUCUUCGCAGAGGUAAUUAAGGUUAAAUGAGCUCAUUGGGGGUGAGCCACACCCCAGCGUGACUGGGGUUCUUAUAAGAAGAGGGGAUCAGGACACGGGCACACACAAGUGAACCAUGUGAGGACCCAGGGAGACGGCGGCCAUCUACACACCAAGGAGAGAGGCCUCAGAAGGAAGCAACCUAGCUGAAACCUUGACCUAUGACUCCUGGCCUCCGGAACUGGGAGAAAAUAUGUUUCUGUUAUUGAAGCCGUCUAGACUGCUGAACUUUGUUGGCCCUCAUGCCCUCGUAUAGUUUCCUGCCUGUUCACGCCAGACACCGGCAGGACAUCACUUUGGGUUAAUAAAAGCACAUUUUUUAAGAUUUGAGUUGCGCUCAGAAUACCCAUUUUUAAAAAUUGAUUAAUAAAACACUCGAUCUAGGGGCACCUGGGCGGCCCAGUCAGUUAAGAUUCUGACUUGAUUUUGGCUCAGGUCAUGGUCUCACGGUUCAUGAGUUCAAGCCCCAUGUCAGGCUCUGAACUGACAGUGUGGAGCCUGCUUGGGAUUCUUU